AUGAAAGAUCAAGUUCUUGAAGAAUGAGUUUUUGCUGAGAUACAGAAAGGUCAAACUGUUUGGCAAAUUGGGAAGAUCUGGUAAUUGACCUGUAAACCCAUUUUCUUUUAGGCUCAAACUGGUCAAAUUUGAUAACAAGUCAACCCCAUCAGGGAAACUACUAUUAAAGAAAUUCCCAUCAAGAUUCACACUUUCAAGACUUGCUAAUCUUGUAAAAGUUUGAGGAAUUGGGCCAUACAAGUAAUUAUAACUCAUAUCAAUAUACUUAAGUGUGUAUAGCCUUUGAAAUUUUUCAGGAACUUGACCCCAGAUUCCUAAAGAAACCAACUUAAGAGUCUUCAAGCUUGUUAAUCUUGAUAAAGUGGCAAUCAAAGAGUCAAUUGAGAAGUUUUGAGAAAGGGUUUGUGAAGGAAUUGGAAACCCAUUGAAGCUUGAACUCACCUUCUUCAGUUGUUGAUCAGGAGAAAGCCCCCCCAAGAUUUUGAGCUCUGUAACAUAAUUGUUUUCACAAGUGAUGUUGACUUGUGGUGAUGACAAGUAGCAUAAAUCAUCACUUGUGUUGGCCCAAAAGUCUAAUUGCUUUGGGUACUCGAGUUGUUUUCUUAACUGAAGCAAAACUUGUUUUUGUGAAGGUUGAAUUGCAUCUGUAAAGAAGAAACUCCAUGAAAGAGUCAAGAACAGCAGAUAAAAGCUUGAAGAAGCCAUUGAAAUACUCUGUUUUUUUUUUCUUUUUUUUUUUUUCUUGAAGAACAAGAGUGUGAAAUGUGAACUGUGAAGUUUACGUAAAUUGAACACAAAAAACAGAAUCUUCAACAACUAAAAGUCAAGAUUCAACCCUUA
rnacentral:lncRNA from 1 species